AGAAGAAACAAAGAACCCAAAGUCAAAGGCCACGCUGUUUACUUCUGACCAUAACUGACCGUAACUUGACUGUUUCAGAAAGAUGAGAGAAGUGCAGAGGAAAUCAUCAUCUGUCUUGGCAUGCUAAAAGAGGAGAUAAAUACAGUAGCAAAUAUGCUGCUAGGCCAUUGACCAGCAGUUGGGUACUAAGAAAGGAGAAGCUCUUAUUGACCUGUAAAAUGAAAACAGGACAUUUUCAAAUUGUUUUGUUUUAGGGAUGGGGUACAAGUAGAAGAUUGGUCAAUAUUAUGUACAUGUACCUUGAUAUGAAUUUAUUUUUAAUUGUGUUCAAUGAUAA